UACGAAGGGUGCAAGCGUUGCUCGGAAUUAUUGGGCGUAAAGGGUUGGUAGGCGGUUCGUCACGUCGGGAGUGAAAACUCGGAGCUUAACUCCGAGCCUGCUUCCGAUACGGGCAGACUAGAGGUAGGCAGGGGAGAGCGGAACUCCUGGUGUAGCGGUGGAAUGCGCAGAUAUCAGGAAGAACACCGGUGGCGAAGGCGGCUCUCUGGGCCUUACCUGACGCUGAGGAGCGAAAGCGUGGGUAGCGAACAGG
rnacentral:rRNA from 1 species